rnacentral:rRNA from 1 species
AUGAACGCUGGCGGCAUGCCUAAGACAUGCAAGUCGAACGAAGUAUCACUCCUGCAACGGACUUCGGUCCAAUGCUUUGUGACACUUAGUGGCGAACGGGUGAGUAACAGGUAGACAACUUGCCUCAACGACUGGGAUAACAUCGGGAAACUGGUGCUAAUACCAGAUAGGAUUUUUCCUCGCAUGAGGAGCUAUUUAAAGAUGGGUUAAACCAUCACGUUGAGAGAGGUCUGCUUCGUAUUAGCUAGUUGGUGAGGUAAUGGCUCACCAAGGCGAUGAUGCGUAGCCGAGCUGAGAGGCUGAUCGGCCACACUGGAACUGAGACACGGUCCAGACUCCUACGGGAGGCAGCAGUUAGGGAUAUUCGGCAAUGGACGAAAGUCUGACCGAGCAAUGCCGCGUGAAUGAAGAAGUAUUUCGAUAUGUAAAGUUCUGUUGUAAGGGAAGAAUGGUAAUGAUAGGAAAUGAUCAUUAUUUGACGGUACCUUACCAGAAAGCCCCGGCUAACUACGUGCCAGCAGCCGCGGUAAUACGUAGGGGGCGAGCGUUAUCCGGAUUUAUUGGGCGUAAAGGGUGCGUAGGCGGCCUUACAAGUCUGAGUUGAAAGCCCACGGCUUAACCGUGGAGGGUGCUCGGAAACUGUAAGGCUUGAAUCCAGAAGAGGCAAGUAGAAUUUCUAUGUGGGAGCGGUGGAAUGCGUAGAUAUAUGGAAGGAAUACCAGUGGCCGAAGGCGGCUUGCUGGUCUGGGAUUGACGCUGAGGCACGAAAGCGUGGGGAGCAAACAGGAUUAGAUACCCUGGUAGUCCACGCCGUAAACGAUGAGUACUAGGUGUUGGGGAGACUCAGUGCCGAACAAAACUAAUUAAGUACUCCGCCUGGGGAUUACGGCCGCAAGGUUGAAACUCAAAGGAAUUGACGGGUACCCGCACAAGCGGUGGAGCAUGUGGUUUAAUUCGAAGCAACCCGAAGAACCUUACCAGGUCUUGACAUACCGGUGACAACUCUAGAGAUAGAGCCUUCCUUCGGGACACCGGAUACAGGUGGUGCAUGGUUGUCGUCAGCUCGUGUCGUGAGAUGUUGGGUUAAGUCCCGCAACGAGCGCAACCCUCGUCUUUUGUUGCUAACAUUCAGUUGAGGACUCAAGAGAGACUGCCAGCGAUAAGCUGGAGGAAGGUGGGGAUGACGUCAAAUCAUCAUGCCCUUUAUGACCUGGGCUACACACGUGCUACAAUGGCUGGAUACAAUGAGAUGCUAACCCGCGAGGGGGAGCCAACCUCAAAAAGACAGUCUCAGUUCGGAUUGAAGUCUGCAACUCGACUUCAUGAAGUCGGAAUCGCUAGUAAUCGCAAAUCAGAAUGUUGCGGUGAAUACGUUCUCGGGUAUUGUACACACCGCCCGUCAAACCACGAAAGUUUGUAACACCCGAAGUCAGUAGGCUAACCGUAAGGAGGCAGCUGCCUAAGGUGGGAUGAAUGAUUGGGGUUA